GAGAUGAUGAGUGAUGACAUUUUUUUUUUCCCCCUCAGUCUACUCUGUUGAUGUCUUAAUAUUCAUACAUCAUCUC